CUUUGUACCAUGCCUUUUCUUUUCUUUUUACUUUUAGCUAUCUAAACUAUGCAGUGUUGUUUUUACUCGUUAAAAAAGAAAGAUUUAUUUACUGUGUUAAAAUUUUCCUUCCAUACUAUGAAGUGUGUCAGCAACAACAUGCAUGUAACAUGACGACUGUGAAUCUGAAAAGGGAUCUAGUCACAGAAAAGCCACAGCCUAGGUCUGGUGUCUCCUUUUGCUAGUCUUCAGUCAUGAACAUGCGGUUUCUCUGCUGUGUAGCCCUUUAUCUCCUGCUAGCAGGCUCUUUGGAUUGCCAAGUUAUCCAAACUCCACAGCAUCUGCUCAGAGGAAAAGGACAGAAAGCAAAAAUGACCUGUAUUGCUGAAAAGGGACAUACUUUUGUUUAUUGGUACCAACAGAAGCAGAACAAAGAGUUAAAAUUUUUGAUUUAUUUUCAACGUCAAGAACCUCGUGACAGUAUAGACUUGGUCAAGGAGCGAUUCUUAGCUGAGUGUCCCUUAAACUCUCCCUGCAGCCUGGAAAUACAGUCCUCUGAGGCAGGAGACUCAGCAUUAUACCUCUGUGCCAGCAGUCUGUCCACAGCACUGAAAUGUGUAUUGUUCUUAGCACACAAACUCUCCAUGGAGCCAACUCAGGAAGCAGGUGACACUCUGGGUUGGAAGGAAGGAAGAGAAAUGAACGGGAGCCAGUGCAAACCACAGCAGAUUUCACACAAGUCAAGAAUGUGUCUAGAAGUAGAGUGA